rnacentral:ncRNA from 1 species
CGUCCGGCCCGGACCCUGUCGCCCCACGAGGCGCGGUCAACGAGUCGGGUUGUUUGGGAAUGCAGCCCAAAUCGGGCGGUAGACUCCGUCCAAGGCUAAAUACAGGCGAGAGACCGAUAGCGAACAAGUACCGCGAGGGAAAGAUGAAAAGGACUUUGAAGAAAAAAGAGAGAGUCAACAAAGAAGAGAGUGCAAUUGCUGCCGG